AUGGAGUACUUGCAUCAAGGGUGCAACCAGCGCAUCCUCCACUUUGACAUCAAGCCUCACAAUAUCUUGCUGGACUUCAACUUCAAUCCAAAGAUCUCAGACUUCGGCCUUGCAAAGUUGUGUGCAAGGGACCAAAGCAUCGUCACCUUAACUGCAGCAAGAGGCACAAUGGGCUAUAUUGCACCAGAGCUAUAUUCUCGGAACUUUGGGGGAGUAUCGUACAAGUCAGACGUGUACAGUUUCGGAAUGCUGGUGCUAGAAAUGGUGAGCGGGAAGAGGAAUUCAGACCCAAGAAUCGGGAGCCAGGACGAUGUUUACCUCCCAGAGUGGAUCUACGAGAAAGUGAUUAAUGGGGAGGAGUUGGUGCUUACUUUGGAAAUGACUCAAGAAGAGAAAGAGAAGGUGAAGCAGCUGGCUAUGGUGGCACUGUGGUGCAUCCAGUGGAACCCGAGAAACCGUCUGUCGAUGACAAAGGUCGUUAACAUGCUAACAGGGAGGUUGCAGAGUCUGCAGAUGCCCCCGAAGCCUUUCGUCUCAUAUGAAAAUGAACCUAUGCCAUAA
rnacentral:rRNA from 1 species